AGUGUCAAUGAUGAUUCAUUCCACCAUCUUUCGUUUGAUCUCAUAUGAAACCAAAACAUGCACUACCAACUGAGACACU
rfam:Lingula anatina scaffold434, whole genome shotgun sequence.